GACGAACGCUGGCGGCGUGCUUAACACAUGCAAGUCGAACGGAAAGGCCCCCUUGUGGGGUACUCGAGUGGCGAACGGGUGAGUAACACGUGAGUAACCUACCCUUGACUUUGGGAUAACUUCAGGAAACUGGGGCUAAUACCGGAUAGGAGCUCCUGCUGCAUGGUGGGGGUUGGAAAGUUUCGGCGGUUGGGGAUGGACUCGCGGCUUAUCAGCUUGUUGGUGGGGUAGUGGCUCACCAAGGCUUUGACGGGUAGCCGGCCUGAGAGGGUGACCGGCCACAUUGGGACUGAGAUACGGCCCAGACUCCUACGGGAGGCAGCAGUGGGGAAUAUUGCACAAUGGGCGGAAGCCUGAUGCAGCAACGCCGCGUGCGGGAUGACGGCCUUCGGGUUGUAAACCGCCUUCGCCUGUGACGAAGCGUGAGUGACGGUAAUGGGUAAAGAAGCACCGGCUAACUACGUG
rnacentral:rRNA from 1 species